GCGAGCGGCGGAUGGGUGAGUAACACGUGGGGAACCUGCCCCUAAGUCUGGGAUACCAUUUGGAAACAGGUGCUAAUACCGGAUAAUAAAGCAGAUCGCAUGAUCAGCUUUUGAAAGGCGGCGUAAGCUGUCGCUAAGGGAUGGCCCCGCGGUGCAUUAGCUAGUUGGUAAGGUAACGGCUUACCAAGGCGACGAUGCAUAGCCGAGUUGAGAGACUGAUCGGCCACAUUGGGACUGAGACACGGCCCAAACUCCUACGGGAGGCAGCAGUAGGGAAUCUUCCACAAUGGACGCAAGUCUGAUGGAGCAACGCCGCGUGAGUGAAGAAGGUUUUCGGAUCGUAAAGCUCUGUUGUUGGUGAAGAAGGAUAGAGGUAGUAACUGGCCUUUAUUUGACGGUAAUCAACCAGAAAGUCACGGCUAACUACGUGCCAGCAGCCGCGGUAAUACGUAGGUGGCAAGCGUUGUCCGGAUUUAUUGGGCGUAAAGCGAGCGCAGGCGGAAAAAUAAGUCUAAUGUGAAAGCCCUCGGCUUAACCGAGGAACUGCAUCGGAAACUGUUUUUCUUGAGUGCAGAAGAGGAGAGUGGAACUCCAUGUGUAGCGGUGGAAUGCGUAGAUAUAUGGAAGAACACCAGUGGCGAAGGCGGCUCUCUGGUCUGCAACUGACGCUGAGGCUCGAAAGCAUGGGUAGCGAACAGGAUUAGAUACCCUGGUAGUCCAUGCCGUA
rnacentral:rRNA from 1 species